rnacentral:rRNA from 1 species
AACGGGGGGAAUUAGCGUUAGCCGUCUUUACUGGGCGUAAAGGGUUUGUAGGUGGUUUUAUUUGCUUUAUUUUUAAUAUUAUAUUAAUUUAUUAUAAUAAAGGACGAUAUAACUUUGAGUAUAGUAGAGGUUAACCGUAUUCUUCAUGAAGAAGUGAAAUGCAAUGAAAUGAACGGAGACGAACAUAAGGCGUAGGCAGUUAACUAAACUAAUACUGACGUUGAGGAACGAAAGCGUGGGGAUCAAAUCGG